AAGAGCCAUGUGACGGGAUCCGUGGUUUGGCAGAGGAGACAUGCGAGAAGACGGAACGUUUUGUCCGAAUAGACAUCUGGCAGGGUGGAACGGAGAGAACAGGUAUGGUGGAGAGAACGUCUGAGAAGGUCGCAGGAUUCGCAGGAGCAUCGGGAAAAGAUUGCCUGCUUGCCCGAAGGAAUGGCAAGUUCCAAAGAUGGCGUUUCUUUCCCGGAUCCCGUUUCAGGAACGUUUCUGUUGGCUACAAGGACCGUCUCCAACAUGCUUAGGCUCUGUGAACUUUCCCAGGAUCCUGAGUAGGGUAUCCGCCAUUCGUCCUUAGGGCUCCGGGAUGUCUCGUUCUUACUGUGUCCCUGCCAACCUCAUGCUCAUGUUUUCCCUUCCAGCUGUGCUGUGGGCAGUGUUUAGUUCAUGUCUGCUUUGCUGGCGGGCCGAGUAGCAACAGCUGCAGUUGGUGUGUUCUCUGAAGGCAGUAUCCGAAGGCUGGAGGGGUUGCUUUUCUUCCCAGGUGUCUUUUGAAGAGGCAGUCAAGUCAGCAGCUCGCGGUGACCUUCUGGUAACAUCGUAUGGGCUGGGUUAUGGCGUUUCUUUCCCGGAUCCCGUUUCAGGAACGUUUCUGUUGGCUACAAGGACCGUCUCCAACAUGCUUAGGCUCUGUGAACUUUCCCAGGAUCCUGAGUAGGGUAUCCGCCAUUCGUCCUUAGGGCUCCGGGAUGUCUCGUUCUUACUGUGUCCCUGCCAACCUGGCGUCAUUGCCUCUCCACUGAUCCUUCCCUUGGGCGGUGCUGUCAACCGGUGCCGCUGCCUGUCAGCCCAUGGGCGAGGUGAGUCACAGGCACUGUGGGGUUCUUGGAGUCUUAGGCCUGCUCACUUGAGGCAUUCUUCCCCUAUUCGUUGAGUGUUCUCAGAGGGAGGGGACGGAGCUGCUCAACCCUGCUCUUGUGGCUGUCAAGGUGUCCUGCAUUAUCCCACACGCCCAACUCCUGGGAUCUUACAGGGAGGCUGCUGAUGUCCACCUUCCUGCGCUUCCAUCCAUCAGGUGCCUGCCCUUCCUUGGCUGCAGCCGGCCGUGAGGAGUUUUCCUCCAUAGAUAGGGUUCAAGUACCGCCCAACUGUCACCUCAUGGUCAUCUGACAUUCCUGGUGGUGGUGGGGGGACCCCCGGUACUAUGCUCACGUCAGACCAAGUACCUCAAGUGAUAGGAACGUCUGACAGGAUUGCACAUGUGGCAGAAGAGCAUCCGAUGCGAGAAGACGGAACGUUUUGGCCGAGGAGACAUCUGGCAGGGUGGAACGGAGGGAACAGGUGUGGCAGAGAGAAUAUCUGAGAAGCUCGCAGGAUUCCCAGAAGGAGCACUGGGAGUAGAUUGCCUGUUUUCCCGAAGGAACGGCAAGUUCCAAAGGUCAGAGGCUCAUGUGAACUCUGUCGGGUUCAGGAGCAGCUCAGUGUUGCUGGUGGCAAGAGUGUGGUACGAGAGUGGUUGGGCGUGGUUUGAAUAUCUAGAAAAGGCGAGCUGAGGGUAGAUUUUUGAACAGUCCGGAGUAGGAGGGGUAGAGACAUAUUCUAUGGGCCACAGCCACAUUCUCAGGAUGCUCGUGGCUGUAAAUAGUAGAUGACCCAAGUAAGAGCGGCUGAAGCCAUAGGCACCAGAAUUGUGUUGGCAUCGUCGUGUCACGCUCACGUUUUCCCUUCCAGCUGUGCUGUGGGCAGUGUUUACUUCAUGUCUGCUUUGCUGGCGGGCCAAGUAGCAACAGCUGCAGUCGGCGUGUUCUCUGAAGGCAGCGUGUGAAGGGUGGAGGGGUUGCUCUUCUUCCCAGGUGUCUUUUGAAGAGGCAGUCAAGUCAGCAGCUCACAGUGGCCUUCUGGUAACAUCGUAUGGGCUGGGUUACAGCACAUGCCGACUGCUAAGCCAGUCACUGGGGAAAACCAUGUGAUUGCUGUGAUGAGCUUAGAAUGAUCAUUCCUCCUUCAGGAGCUGGGGUGGGUUGAGGGAACGAUAAAGAUCCUGAUAACCUUGCAUUUCUCCAGCGAGAAAGAAGAAAUUCCGUGGAUAGGGAGCCAGCCAGGUUUCCUGCAGAGAUUCACGGGAAGCUUUUGAGCAGGGGAGUCAGAAGAUGAGCGGUGAGUAUUAGGACUUUCCAGUCACGGCGUGACGCAGGGUUUGGCCAGUUCUUCCUGUAAAGGGGCAGGUGGGAAACGCUUGUAGGCCCGGUGGUCUCUGUCAUGUCUGCUGAAGUGAUCUCUGCUGUCUGAUUCCCACUUCCCAGAUUCUCACAGUAGACGAGGAGCCUGUUUUUCAGCUAGCUGCUGCAAGGAGCUGGACAUUUCUCCCUUCAAAUAGGACCUGGAAGGCCUGGAAGCAUCUGGAGAAGGGCAUGGCUGUGAGUAGAGAAACAGAGGAUACAGGCUAAAGCAGGAGGAAGCGAGAGGACUCACGGAAAGCCUUGCUGCACUCUCCAAAAGAGCUGCCCUUUUCACGUGAAGAGCUAUGUGAUCGGAUCCCCGGUUUGGCAGAGUAGACAUGCGAGAAGACUGAACGUUUCAUCGUUGAAACCUCUUAAAGGUGGAAUGUGUGGCAGAAAGAACGUCUGAGAAGCUCACGCGAUUUGCAGAAGGAACAUUUGUAGAAGAUUCCCUGUUUUCCGAAGGAAUGUCAAGUUCCAAAGGCACCGGCAGGCUGCGAAUGGUUUUCUUCCAUAGAAACAUUUCAACAACUGCCUGGCCGUCAUCUAAUGGUUGUCUGACAUUUCUCGUGGUG
rnacentral:lncRNA from 1 species